CGUUGACCCAGGAAACUGGGCGGAAGUAAGGUCCAUUGCACUCCGGGCCUGAAGCAACGCG
ncrna:L-glutamine riboswitch RNA (61-MER) from Synechococcus elongatus (PDB 5DDQ, chain B)